AGCAGCCAAGCCAAAAAAGAAAGGUUAGCGGAAGAUUUAAUGCUUCAGAUCUAAAUAAGGUUCUGAAGAAUUAAACCUUGGAACAAAAUCUGACCAACACACCAGAUGCAAACCUGGAAUUUAUUGAAAAUUUUAAAAAUCAAAUGUUCAUAUAACUAUAAAUGCUAAUAUAAUUUAGAAUAAUAA